UACAGAGGGUGCGAGCGUUAAUCGGAAUUACUGGGCGUAAAGCGUGCGUAGACGGUUAUCUAAGUCGGAUGUGAAAGCCCCGGGCUCAACCUGGGAAUUGCAUUCGAGACUGAAUAGCUAGGGUGCGGUAGAGGGAAGCGGAAUUUCCGGUGUAGCGGUGAAAUGCGUAGAGAUCCGGAGGAAUACCAGUGGCGCAAGCGGCGCUCUGGGUCGAGCCUGACACUGAGACGCGAAGGCAUGGGGAGCGAACGGG
rnacentral:rRNA from 1 species